GGUUGAGCACUGUGAUGGGGGGAAGUGGCUGACUGUGUGUCUCAUUGGCUGGCUGCUUCCUGAUGGGGCUGCAUCAAGUCUCCCAUUUCCACUUUGGCUAAGAGUUUGAGCACCGGUUAGUAUGCUAAAGACAGCCACCAAGGAAGUGUAAAGUCCAAGAAGAAAUGUCCCAAGUAUCAACCACACAGACCAACACCUUCUCUUGGCCUUGGGAUUACAAAGAAAAGAGCACAGCCAAAUUGACAAGACAGUCAGGAAAUAGAUGGGCAAUGCUGUGUGAGGGGCACAGUGAUCGAAAUGUCAGCAUCUAAUAGAAGCUUGCAGGAAGAUGUUGUCAAGUUUAUCUUGUUCGGGCAUGGAGAUCUAAAGUGGAUUGUUACGAGAACAAUUUUUUUUUGUUAACGAAAAAAUUAAGCAAUUUUUUAUAUCAUGUGUACCACAUUUUUGAUGACAACGGUCUAUUAUUUAUACUGAUAACUAAGUAAAAGUCUAACUAUUCUGCUGGUUUCAUUGGCUGGUUUGGUUGU
rnacentral:lncRNA from 1 species